UCGUUUACACGAGUGUAGAUAUUCUGCGACAGAGAAAUCGUAGUUACAGCAGCACGUCUAUAACUGGCCGACGCCUUACUAGGUUUGCAGCUACAAUUCUCACUUGGAUCCAGACUUUGAUCCUGGCUCAGGACGAACGCUGGCGGCGUGCCUAACACAUGCAAGUCGAGCGAGGAGAGUUCCUUCGGGAACAAACCUAGCGGCGGACGGGUGAGUAACACGUGGGCAACCUGCCUUAUAGAGGGGAAUAGCCUUCCGAAAGGAAGAUUAAUACCGCAUAACAUUACACUUUCGCAUGGAAGAGUAAUUAAAGGAGCAAUCCGCUAUAAGAUGGGCCCGCGGCGCAUUAGCUAGUUGGUGAGGUAACGGCUCACCAAGGCGACGAUGCGUAGCCGACCUGAGAGGGUGAUCGGCCACAUUGGGACCGAGACACGGCCCAGACUCCUACGGGAGGCAGCAGUGGGGAAUAUUGCACAAUGGGGGAAACCCUGAUGCAGCAACGCCGCGUGAGUGAUGAAGGUCUUCGGAUCGUAAAGCUCUGUCUUCAGGGACGAUAAUGACGGUACCUGAGGAGGAAGCCACGGCUAACUACGUGCCAGCAGCCGCGGUAAUACGUAGGUGGCGAGCGUUGUCCGGAUUUACUGGGCGUAAAGGGAGCGUAGGCGGACUUUUAAGUGAGAUGUGAAAUACCCAGGCUCAACCUGGGGGCUGCAUUUCAAACUGGAAGUCUAGAGUGCAGGAGAGGAGAGUGGAAUUCCUAGUGUAGCGGUGAAAUGCGUAGAGAUUAGGAAGAACACCAGUGGCGAAGGCGACUCCCUGGACUGUAACUGACGCUGAGGCUCGAAAGCGUGGGGAGCAAACAGGAUUAGAUACCCUGGUAGUCCACGCCGUAAACGAUG
rnacentral:rRNA from 1 species